UGCCGUGGCUAUAGCGGUGAGGAACCACCUCUUCCCAUUCCGAACAGAGAAGUUAAGCUCACCCGCGCUGAUGGUACUGACCUACCAGUUGGGAGAGUAAGUCGCCGCGGUUU
rnacentral:rRNA from 1 species